GCCUGCGGCCACGCCACCCUGAACAAGCCCGACCCCGUCUGAUCUCGGAAGCUCAGCAGGGUCGGCCCUGGUGAGUACUUGGAUGGGAGACCACCCAGGAAGAUGAGGUGUUGUAGGCA
rnacentral:rRNA from 1 species